rnacentral:rRNA from 1 species
AACGAACGCUGGCGGCAUGCCUAACACAUGCAAGUCGAACGAGACCUUCGGGUCUAGUGGCGCACGGGUGCGUAACGCGGGGGAACCUACCCUUAGGUUCGGAAUAACUCCCCGAAAGGUGUGCUAAUACCGGUUAAUGUCUUCGGACCAAAGAUUUCUCGCCUUUGGAUGGGCCCGCGUUGGAUUAGCUAGUUGGUAGGGUAAAAGCCUACCAAGGCGACGAUCCAUAGCUGGUCUGAGAGGAUGAUCAGCCACACUGGGACUGAGACACGGCCCAGACUCCUACGGGAGGCAGCAGUGGGGAAUAUUGGACAAUGGGCGAAAGCCUGAUCCAGCAAUGCCGCGUGAGUGAUGAAGGCCUUAGGGUUGUAAAGCUCUUUUACCCGGGAUGAUAAUGACAGUACCGGGAGAAUAAGCUCCGGCUAACUCCGUG